rnacentral:rRNA from 1 species
GGCGAGGAGCUGGUCCCGGCGCUGGUCUCGCUGGAGCCGGUGUACGGCGCGGGGUCGGCGCUCGACGAGGCCCGCCUCCGCUUCGCCCGCCUCGCCGACCGCUUCCGCGCCCUCUACGCCGCCGGCCCCGCCCUCUUCGCCCGCUCCCCAGGGAGGGUGAAUCUCAUCGGGGAGCACAUCGACUACGAGGGCUACUCGGUGCUGCCCAUGGCCAUCCGCCAGGACAUGAUCGUCGCCAUCCGCAGGGCCGACGGCGGCCUCGUCCGCGUCGCCAAUGUCGGCGACAAGUACGCCACCUGCGUCUACCCCGCCGACCCAGACAAGGAAAUUGACAUCAAGAACCACAAAUGGGGCCACUACUUUAUGUGCGGAUACAAGGGAGUAUAUGAAUAUGCUAGGUCAAAAGGGAUAGAUAUGGGUGAACCUGUUGCUCUUGAUGUCGUAGUUGAUGGCACAGUCCCUCAAGGAUCUGGACUUUCAAGCUCAGCGGCAUUUGUCUGUUCAGCAACAAUUGCUAUCAUGGGAAUUCUCGGGAAAAACUUCCCAAAGAAAGAAGUUGCUCAAUUUACAUGUCAAUCUGAGCGCCAUAUUGGGACCCAAUCAGGGGGUAUGGAUCAGGCUAUAUCUAUCAUGGCCAAACCUGGAUUUGCUGAGUUGAUAGAUUUCAACCCAAUCAAAGCAACCGACGUGCAACUACCCUAUGGUGGUACAUUUGUGAUUGCCCAUUGCCUGGCAGAGUCCAAGAAAGCAGAAACAGCUGCUACAAACUACAACAACCGCGUUGUAGAGUGUCGCUUGGCAGCGAUUGUUCUCGCCAUCAAACUAGGGAUGGAUACAAAAAAAGCCAUCACAUCUGUUACGACCCUCUCUGAUGUUGAGGGGCUAUGCGUCUCCUUUGCUGGCAAAGAAGGUUCUUCUGAUCCUGUAGUUGCUGUGAAGAAGCUAUUGCAUGAGGAGCCAUAUACUUUGGAAGAAAUAGAGAAAAUUACAGGUCAAAGCCUAGCAACUGUCUUCCAGAGCUCUCAAACUUCCUUGGAUGUGUUGAGAGCUGCGAAGCAUUUCAAGUUAUUUCAGCGUGCCUCUCAUGUGUACUCUGAAGCAAGGCGGGUGUAUGCAUUUAGGGAUACUGUAUUAUCGAAACUCAGCAAUGAAGGUAUGCUUAAGAAGCUCGGUGAUCUAAUGAACGAUAGCCAUCAUAGCUGCAGUGUGCUAUAUGAAUGCAGCUGUCCCGAGUUGGAAGAGCUUGUAAAAGUGUGCCGGGACAAUGAGCCGCUCGGAGCACGGCUCACAGGAGCCGGGUGGGGUGGCUGCGCAGUCGCCCUGGUCAAGGAGGGCAUCGUCCCACAGUUCAUCCUCAAUUUGAAGGAGAAGUACUACAAAUCAAGGAUCGACAGGGGAGUGAUCAAGCAGAGCGACCUUGGCCUGUAUGUGUUUGCGUCGAAGCCGUCGAGCGGCGCGGCCAUACUGAGGCUGUAG